CCUACGGGAGGCAGCAGUGAGGAAUAUUGGUCACUGGGCUUACGCCUGAACCAGCCAAGUCGCGUGAGGGAAGACUGCCCUAUGGGUUGUCACCCUCUUUUGUCAGGGAGCAACGCCGGCUACGUGUAGCCGGACUGAGAGUACCUGAAGAAAACGCAUCGGCUAACGCCGUGCCAGCAGCCGCGGUAAUCAGGAGGAUGCGAGCGUUAUCCGGCUUUAUUGGGUUUAAAGGGUGCGUAGGCGGAAUGCCAAGUGAGCGGUAAAGUCGCGGGUCUCAAACUCGAUCCGCCGUUGAACCUGGCGUUCUUGUGUGGGCGAGAGGUAUGCGGAAUGCGUGGUGUAGCGGUGAAAUGCAUAGAUAGCACGCAGAAUUCCGAUUGCGAAGGCAGCAUACCGGCGCCCAACUGACGCUGAAGCACGAAAGCGUGGGUAUCGAACAGGAUUAGAUACCCUUGUAGUC
rnacentral:rRNA from 1 species